AAUACAAUACUUUGCAUAUAAUAUACAGCUAAAACCUGAUAACUUUGAAUACAGAUCUGUUUUCAGCCGUGCUGCAAACUUAUUUUAGUAUCUCGCCUUAAAAAGAAAAUGGAAGGAAAGGAGACAUGUUGGACUUUUAUAGGAGAAUUGAUCUUAGGAAAGGUUUUAUUAAAAUGUAACAACUCUUCUGAGGAAACACUGACCUUUACAUUUAUUUGGUACAGAAAUCAGAUCAGGCAACUAAUGUCAUGGUAAAAAAAUCGUGUCAAAAAUAUCUCUGUUGUAUGUUGUCUUACUUCAAAAUAAACUAUGCAUGUUGUAGACACCAAUCAUAUACAGAAAUGUUUAGUAAUGAUCCAAAUGGUGGUGUUUUUCAAGAGGAUUCAUAAGUCUUUUCCAGCUGUAAUGAUUCUGUGGUAGUGUCUCAGUGCCUGAGUGCGUGGGAAGCUCUUUUUUAUCUGCCCUGGAUUGUGGUUAUUUUUGCCAAUGAAAUCUUGACUCAAGUGAAGGAAGGAGGGUCCUGUGAGAUUCAGUGUGUGGUUAAACACUCUCCAACCCAGAUCAGUCAGUGGGGUAAGUUUCUAUUUUGGUACAGAUGUUUGAUGUCUUGUCUUUUUCCCUGUUCUGAAUAAUUUUGUGAAAAUAGUAAGCCUAGGCUAGAAAAAGACAUUUUUGUGUUUCUGUAUGUAUUCUUUUAUGUGUGACUUGAUACUGUUUUUUUGUUCUUGAACACAACCUAAACCAAAUACUAAUAUUUUAACAGGUACAGAAUGACAGUCAAACACUGCAUACUGAUAUGCCUGUGAAGAGGCACUGCCAAAGUUAAUUGUGUCUAGUGCAAAAUCUGGGAGUUCUGGCUGAUCAAAGCAUGUUCUGCAGAUAGACGAUCUGAAAGACUCUGACCAGAGAAGUGUAGGAAUUAUGUGAAGAUUGAGAGCUCAUUCAACUGGAUGGUGGCGCAUAGAUCCUGCGGUGGGUUUGCAGCCUGCACAUAUUUCUAGAGCUGCCCACAAAAGUAAAGAACCAGUGUGAGAGUUUGAAGAAAGAAUCCGCUCAGAGGACUGAGUCUCAAGCAAAAGCUCCAGGUUGCAGACUCAGAAAGAAACUUCCUUUGGGGAAGGAUCUGCUUCCAGGAUUUGCUCGUCUCUUUUUCCUUGGGCAAACAGAGUUCUUGAAGCAAACAACAGGGUUGCAGGACACCUUCUAACCUUUAUACUGCAUCACAAGCCUUCAGCAGAAGAUCUUGACAGCCAUUUAUGUUGCUGGAAGAUGACUGGGUUUGGAUCUUGGCCUUCCUUAAGCAGGAUCUCCUGACAAAAGUGGGAUUGGGAAAGAAAUGACUCCUUUUUCCAUCACACAGAGCCACCCUAGAAAUGGAGGCCUAGGCAGAAAGUUACUUCUAAUGGAUCAUUCUUUAGGAAACGUUUGACCUCCCACAGUCCUUUUGUUACAGUGUCAUAUAGAUGACUUUUAUAAAACCUAAACCUGGCAUCUUCCUAUCUGAAGAUAAGUCAAUAAAUCCAAGAUUAAGAGUUUACAGGUCUAAUAAUGUGAUCGGAUCUUGCUGUUCCUUCCAUAGGAGAUGCCACGUGAAUCUGUGAAACAGGGUUCUGCUGUGGUUCAGACUGUUACAUUUGUAAAGCUUUUUCUACUUACAUUAAAAUGAUUAGAAUAAUUUUAAUAAAGCUUCUCUUGAAAAUGCUGUUUAAUUAGGCUUCUACCUCUCCAGGUCUACUUAAAAAUAAAUUUGAGCCAAAAUGUCACGAUGGGCAAAAUGGGAAGUAGUGCAUCUUUUGAGGUUUCCUGUGGUUUGAUGUUGCAAAAAGGUAUUUUGGAAGUGUUGAGAGCUAUGAAAGUGGAAAAAACUUAAAUUUUGCUGUAAGAGUGAGAAGUUACUUGUUAGAAAGCAGAAAGCUUUCAGUUGUUUUCUCCCUAAGGUAUUCUGUAGCCAAACUUAAUUAAAUAUCUUGGGAGAUUUCAAAUAAAAACCUUACGUUUGGCAGUAGUGAACAACACAUGCACAUGCCCCUGUACUUUUGUACUUUCUCACUAUAGGAGAUUAGUUUUGAAGAAUAGGACUGACUUUUAAUGUUCAGAUUAGGAUAGGGGAAAGUUUUGUUCUUGAACUGAGUGUGAGAAUGGGUGGCAGGAGGGUGAACUAGACCCUCUGGCAGUAGGUAAAGAGCACUUUUAUUUUUCUGUUUUCUGCUUCUGGCAAUUGGAGUAAACUAGUCAGAUGUUUGUACUUGAAUCCAAUUAAUUUCUUAAAUCAGUUACCACAAAACAUUGUUUUCUAACUAAUGCCUAGAUCUUUUGUUAUAUUCACCAGCUUAUUUAAAUUGUUGAAUAGUCUUAAUAUAGCCUUGAGGCUACUGCUUCAUGGCAGUUGUGACUUCUUACUAUGCUGGAAUGCAUCGUAGUCCUAGUACAUUCUAAAAAUAAUUGUUCAGAUGGUGCUGUUUAAGUACAUACUUAUGUAGUGAGCCAUUUUCACUGAACUUUCUGAAAUUUAGUUUUCUGUUGGAUGGUGUUUUAAUAUCUUUUUUUGUUGUGAAUAUCAAACUUUUUUGUCUUGCUGCUUCUGUGGUUAUCAAGUAAAGUGCUGAAUUUAUAACGUGGUAUUUUUAGAAACUGAUGGUCUGAUGCAUGUGUUAAACUAUGCAACCACAGUAACACUUGUGAACUUUGAAGUUUAAAAAGAAAUCAGUUUAAUGUAUCAAAUUCAAUUUUAUUUUCUUAUAAUAAUAUGUGGAAAUAUGUAUGUGAUGAAAUUAAAAUUGAGUAGUUGUUACAGUAUAGACAUGAAUUGUAUGCUGAACAGCAGUAAUCUAGAAGUUAAAAACUGAACAUCUGGGAGUCUCAGAAAUGAAUACUAACAUCUGUGGCUAGAGAUGUGUGCCAGCGGUGCUUCUAGUUGAAAAUACCUGUUUUUCUAACUUCUAGUCCAUAUAAGGUCUGAAACGUUUUCUGCAAGGUAUACUUGCCUCAGCCACAGUUUUUGGCUAUUUUGUUCUGUAGUGGAAGGUAAAUUGAGGACCAUCAAAUACUUACGAAUCCUGAAUACCUACAGUGAAGCAAAACAGGGACACUGAGAACUGUUUCUUAUGUUACUGUCUCAGUUGCUAAAGUGACUUUACUCUUUCUUAUUACAAUUAGGGGGAAAAAACCCCAACAAACCCGCCAAAACAAAAGCAAAAACCAAACCAAAAAGCC